ACACACUCUGCACCAAAAUCAAAACACAAACGUGAGGUCCACACCACUUCACCACUUCACCACUUCACCGCUUUCUUGUCUAAAUGGAUUUUUCUUGGCGACCUUGAGAUGCGUCCUGGGGCAUUUCUACGUCACAUUUUCAUCCUCUUACAUCAAAACGGUGAAACGACUGACCUACGAUGUCUGCGAUGCCGAGGCCGAUCUCACCGACUGUGGCGUCUGUCGCCAGCUCCACGUCCUCCUUCAGCAGCAGGAGGCGGGGCUCGGGGACAUGAAGGACAGCAGACAGCUGGGACAACACGUCCCUCACAGGCGUCGACUGAAGGACGAUAAAACGUUCAUCACGGACACGCCCACUCACCAUGCAUGAACAGGACGGCGAUCUUGUGGACGUCUGUGCGGCAGCGGAUCUUCAGAGGAAUCUCCCGCACGGACGAGCUGUACGGAGACGAACACGAGCCUGCUUCAGGAUUCACCAUGAUGACAUCACCAUCAUCUUGCUCCUCCUCCUUUGACGUCGGAGGCGGGGAGACUUGGCGGCGGUUGCGUUUGCUCCUGGUCCUGGUCUCGGUUCUGUCCCGAGUCUCCGGAGACAAGAGGGAGUUCAGCACCUGGAGUCUGCUGUCGAUCUCACUGAGGAGAAAACACAGAGAAUCAGAGUCACGUUAAAAUAAAGAAUUCUCGUCCCAGA